rnacentral:lncRNA from 1 species
GACCUUACAGACUUGUAAACACUAUGAGCAUUUGAUGAAAACCAAGAAAUAUCCUUUGAAAGAAUAUCGUUGGCUAGCUCGGAGCGGGCCUAGCUUGGCACGGUGUGGUACCAAAUUAUUAAAUUUCUGGCUUUUGCAUUCUUAUAUUACAUUGGGCCAAAAUCAGGCUUUUGCUCAAAGGAAUCUAAACGGGUGGACGGAUAACAUCUCCAAGAGAUGACUGAACUUUAGCUGAUGCUUGCCACAUUAGCAAAAAGUAAUUUAUUGAAUUACUGAUGCACUUAAUAAAGUACUGCCACAAGCCUGGGGAGACAGAAUGCUGAGUCAGCCUGGCUUCAAAAUUAAGGACGGGGCUGGGCUACUGUUUCAAAGUAUCUUUACAUCCGGUACUUAACCAUUCGGCUGUUUACGAAACCAAGGCUCCUCCGGGAGCCAGAAAAACCAUAUCCUGAAAAAAACGAACUAAGAAACAAAAAAGCGUUAAUGAUAAGAAACUGAUUUGACUGGUAACCAUGCAGGUUUCGAGAUGAUUUGAAAUGACAGCAGCAAAGGCCAGUUUCAUUAACGGGCGUCACAGUUCAGCCAGGAUCGCAUAGGGGCUUAUUCGCACCUAGUUCAGAAGCUGGCAUAUUUCUCCCUCUUUGGAAGAUCAUUUACAUGUUUUCUAGUCAUUAAAGCAAGUAGCGCCCGAGGGCAGCAUUUUGUUAGCCCCAGUAGAGUUCCCGGAGAUCCGUGCACGUAAUACGGAGACACAAGUUUUCUGGCUUUUUGUUCGUUCACUUCUGGUUUUCUCCUGUAACCGCGGGGGGCGACAGGUCCUGCGUCACAGGCUCCCAGGGCCUGGCUCUGAAUAGUAGCUCCAUAUGCUGACGCCACCAGCCACGCCACCCCUUUGCCCUCUGCGACUGUCCCAGGCCACACGUCUCGACCACACGUGCCCAGGAUCCCCGGCUCCCACCCGGGGCUUAAAGGGAAAGCGGCGGCAGCCUCCGAUGACAGAUCCUGGAGGAAAAAACACGUUAGUGUCUGAGAGUCUGUGCGUGUGUCUCUCUCUGUGGCGGGACACGGGGUCCCCAAAGGCCCAUCCCCUCUCACCUCAAAAAGAGCCCCGCCUUUCACUGCAAGUGGGUUUUGUAACACGUUUGCUCUUCUCCUCCUCUGUCUCCUUAAACCCUUCACCCCAAGCCCCCCCCCCCCCCCAGGAAGCGAGUCAGCCCUAGAACUCAAACGUGAGAGCCCACACUGAAGACACAAACAGCCCUUCUCACCGAGGGAUUUCCACCUGGGCUGGAUUUCAAACAGCAAAAUAAAAGCUUUAUCCCAUGACGAGAACCCA